GUCGCUGAUUGGGUAGGAAGCAGAGACUUCCUCUCAGAGAAGAACUGCAGAAACACACUCCAAACUAAGGAGAAUGGCUUUUUGAUUGAGGAGACUGAGUCCACCUUAUCAGGCUACAGCUGGGGAGAAGAUGGAGCUGUUCCCGGGAGUUAUUUUGGUGAUUUUGUGGCUUCCAGUGGACUGGGUAAGCGGCCAGAAGAUGGAACAGAGUCCUCAGUCUUUGAACAUCCAGGAGGGUGAGAAGGCCGUUCUGACCUGUAACUACACACAAUUUUCUCCAGUGGUCUUCCAGUGGUACCGACAAGAUCCGGGAAGAGGCCUUGUCUUCUUGCUACUAAUACGUGAAAAUGAGGGUGAAAAACAGACAGGAAGACUAACGGCCACCUUUGAUAAGACUGUCAAACGGAGUUCCUUUCACAUAACAGAAUCCCAGCCUGCAGACUCAGCCACCUACUUCUGUGCUGCAGACACACAGCAGGGUCCCGCCACCUGCUUCCUGUGCCCAAACUCUGCUAAAAAAACUCAGUCAAUAGAGCUGCUAGCUGUGUUGACCCCAAGGGUCAUAUGCUCCUGGCAUAUUCAAUGGAGGUACUCGAACUGAACCGACCCAAUCAAAGGGUGUGAGGAAGAGCACUGGACUGACCCCGAGGGAGUGGGGGAUUCAUCUCACAGCCUCAGCAAU